UCUCUUGUGCUCGGGCAUGUACUGUCGCCAGUGAGGUUUCUACCGAGGCACAGUUUUUUUGCUGAUUGCAAAUUAUACAUCCGAACCCGUCUGUUAGCUUCGGCUUUCAGCAAUAUUUGGAAACUCUCCCUUACUUUGCAUGUCUUUCUUGUGAUGGCGCCUACAGGUGCUGGAAGAA
rnacentral:snRNA from 19 species